AGCAGCCCACAGAAGCCGAGUUCGCGCCGCCGGUAGGUGCUGCCAUGCCAGGGGGCGGGAUCGUGGAGCGCCUCGUAGAACCGCACGAAAGCAAAAACAAAGCCAUCUCUCCGAAGCAGAAAUAGAACAGACGUGGCCGGGGAAAGCCAAAUAUUUGUGGCUGGACUCAGACACAUCACGCUCCAGUUUGGGUUCCAAGGUGCUUCUCUCUGGAUUUUCACCUGCCUUGCCAAAAAUGAUUGAUUACGCUGGGCCAACUGGGUGUCCGGCGAUACCCAACAAAUGACUUUGGCCCCUAACCGCAGGCCUUGGCCAGAUAGAAAUCAAUAUUUCACCAUUAAAAUCUAUCAAAGAAGAGUUAAGGCACCAUCUGUCCCUGCCGCCUCUCUAUGCUUGUGGCCUUGAACACGUGCCUUAACAUUGCUGAAACUCAAUAUCUUCAUUUGAACAAACAGAGUGGUGAUUUCCACCCCACAGUGGUGUUGUUCAGAAUGAACAUGAAAAUAAAGCAGCGAGCACGUAGUCGGCUCUCAUCAAAAUCCUGGAUGUGGAGUCCGAGAUAUGGAAGGCCAAUUGGCUGCCAAAUAAACGGGAGAGACAACAUGUGCGGUGGCUUCAAGGGAGGAGGAAGAGUUGAGUUUAAACUAAUGAAGUAAAGGCAGAGAUGGGAGACUGAAAGGAAGGAAGGAAGACGCUGACACUUCUUCAGUGUGAUUGUAUGCCAUACACUGUGCUAGGUGCUGUUAAUACAACAACCCUUCUGGCUAUGUACUGUUUAACCC
rnacentral:lncRNA from 1 species